rnacentral:rRNA from 1 species
UGGGGAAUUUUGGACAAUGGGGGAAACCCUGAUCCAGCAAUGCCGCGUGAGUGAAGAAGGCCUUCGGGUUGUAAAGCUCUUUUGUCAGGGAAGAAACACCGGCUCUAACACAGUCCGGGAAUGACGGUACCUGAAGAAUAAGCACCGGCUAACUACGUGCCAGCAGCCGCGGUAAUACGUAGGGUGCGAGCGUUAAUCGGAAUUACUGGGCGUAAAGCGUGCGCAGGCGGUUAUACAAGACAGGCGUGAAAUCCCCGGGCUUAACCUGGGAAUGGCGCCUGUGACUGUAUAGCUAGAGUGUGUCAGAGGGGGGUAGAAUUCCACGUGUAGCAGUGAAAUGCGUAGAUAUGUGGAGGAAUACCAAUGGCGAAGGCAGCCCCCUGGGAUAACACUGACGCUCAUGCACGAAAGCGUGGGGAGCAAACA